AAUCAUUUAUGGUUCCAGAACCGAUGAUGAAUUAUAUAAGCACUGGAAUGGAGUUGCAGCAAUGGCCAAAAAAGGAACAAUUCAAACCAGUAGGUAGAACCGAAGUUGCGGAAGAUUCGUCAUGGAUUGUCAAGUUUGAACAAUCUGUCAAUAUUUUUCUCACGCUUUGAUCUCGGUUGAGCAUAUGUAUAAGAGUUCUGGUUGGUGGAGAAAAGCGGAUUAUUUGAAGUCCAUUUUGCUGAGAGCUGGAAUGAGAUGCAUCACUCGAUUAUAAUGGAGGCAGCCUGUGGUUUUCUCCAAAAUGCAUAUGCUAUUUGCAUGUCCGGUUCUCCAUUCAUGAUACACAUGUUGGUUGAAGUUUCCUCAACCUAAUUAGUGGGAGCAUAACAUCAGUGAAGUUAAGGUCACUUUUCUGACUGCAUGGAGAACCAUGCUUUUGAAACUUAUGACAAAUUUAUCAAGGCCCAAUGAGGUAAAAAAUUUUAAUGGAUAUGUCAGUAAGUUGCAUUUGUGCAUGUGUUGCUUCUCGACACUAAGUUAAAAGCAAAAAGCAAAAAAUCCCAAAUGCAGUAAGACUCUCGCUUCUUGGCAGUAGAGAGUUUCCUUUAGCCUGCAUCUUGCAAUAUGAAAUAGAGAUCAAAAUGUCUUCAUAAUAUAUAGGGCAUGGUGGUGUAUCUUUUGUAGUAUCAAUUUGGUCUGUUCUUUCUCUUUACUUGAGGCAAGAGCUCAUGAGCACACCAAGCCAUUCAACAUCAAGCUUGAGUUUGACUCAUUUACACUGCAAGUUAUCCUAAUAUGUGGGGACAUAUGAUGUUUUAUUUGCACAACUUUUUCAUGUAAAUUUGACUUGAAGACAUCACUAAUGAGUCAUUUCCUUUUAUAUUGCUACAAGAAUUUCUUUUGUUUAAAAAGGAUGAAUAAUAGUAAUUGACAUUAACAGAAAUUGCAGUGCCCCCUGAUUUCCUCUUUUAUUUUCUUAUCUGGAGGGUGACUCUGAAGAUGAAUCUGGUGGUGUCAUUUCUGAAGCACAUCGUGAAUGAAUUGUAGAUUGUAUGAAAAAAAUGAUAAAUUCCAUUGAAAUUAGCGACCAAUGGCAGAGUUGUAUAUGGAGAAAGAAACAAUACAGAUCAAUGAAUACAGUUUGUUGAAAAUUUAUGAGGAGAUCACAUCAAAAUUUCCCCUGGUCCUCGCAAUUAUUAACAAACUUAUUAUUUUUACAGAUGGGCGUUCCAGGAAGUUCUAUUUGAUUGCUAUAGGCGUUAACAACAUUUAUAACCGUGGGGUCUCGCUGCACAGCAGAGAUUCAGGUCCAUGGGGAUGAGGCGACAGCAUUUUGGCUCAUGUAUACUCUGCCCUAGAUGUCUAAACAGAAACAGAAGACGCAGAUGGAUGAUCCAUCUACCCAUUAUGGAUAGAUUGGUUAGUCUUAACCAUCGGUAAUCUAGAGUCCGGAUCAGCUUCCUAUGAAGAGAAGAUUUCUAUUGUGAAAUGGGAAAUUAGAGGUGGAUCUGCUUGGAAUGAAUCUUCAGCUCGGUUUUAGUUUGAGAUUAGCUUAUUUGUUCAUCUAAUGAAUUAUUUAUGUUAUCGACAACAUUGUUCAUCCUUUUAACGACAUUAUUUAUGUGGUUGUUGACCCGCUAAUCAUACUAUGUAUUAGCUCCAAUUGGUUAUUAUAACUUUGAUUCAAACUUAAA